GACGAACGCUGGCGGCGUGCUUAACACAUGCAAGUCGAACGGUGACGAGGAGCUUGCUCCUCUGAUCAGUGGCGAACGGGUGAGUAACACGUGAGCAACCUGCCCCAGACUCUGGGAUAACAGUUGGAAACAGCUGCUAAUACCGGAUACGAGACGGAGAGGCAUCUCUACCGUCUGGAAAGUUUUUCGGUCUGGGAUGGACUCGCGGCCUAUCAGCUAGUUGGUGAGGUAAUGGCUCACCAAGGCGACGACGGGUAGCCGGCCUGAGAGGGCGACCGGCCACACUGGGACUGAGACACGGCCCAGACUCCUACGGGAGGCAGCAGUGGGGAAUAUUGCACAAUGGGCGAAAGCCUGAUGCAGCCAUUCCGCGUGAGUGAAGAAGGCCUUCGGGUUGGUAAAGGUACUCUUUCGGUACGGUAAAGGAAAGUACGCCCGGGUAAACGUAAUACCGGGUGGAGUGACGGU
rnacentral:rRNA from 1 species